AGGAUAAAGUGUCAACCUAAUUCCUUAGAGUUCCAGCAGCACUAAUUAAGCAGAGUCGCAGAGUGAAUCAUAGCAGUGGAGACCCUGGUGGGAAUCUCCUCAUCUUUACCACCAGCAGGGUACCCUCCCCAUUCAUCUUGAGGCACCUGGUACAGUAUAUUACAACAAGCACAAAAGAGAAAUAAAUCUCAUCUUGCCAUGGAACCCUUUUAAGAACAAACAUUUAUGAUGAAGAAGGAAUAAGCAUUCGUCAUUACAUAAAAGAGACAGUUUUAAUCGGGCCGUUAAGAUCAGCAGCAAAAAUCUGUCUACAUGCACUGAAAAUCAUCAAAGUGCCUUUUAGCUUGUAUAAAUAGUUAUUGGUGCCUAAAAUUCCCAUCUGAAGAGUUUGCAUCUGCUAACUGGGAAUAAUUACUCUAAUUACCUACUUGUAACAAGUGUUGAUAUCUAUAAUUUCUUUAAAAAGCCAUUUCCUGUUCCAGAUAUUAAAUCUAUAUAUA